UACGUAGGGUGCAAGCGUUGUCCGGAAUUAUUGGGCGUAAAGAGCUCGUAGGCGGUUUGUCGCGUCGGCUGUGAAAACUCGGGGCUCAACCCCGAGCCUGCAGUCGAUACGGGCAAACUUGAGUGUGGUAGGGGAGACUGGAAUUCCUGGUGUAGCGGUGAAAUGCGCAGAUAUCAGGAGGAACACCGGCGGCGAAGGCGGGUCUCUGGGCCGAUACUGACGCUGAGGAGCGAAAGCGUGGGGAGCGAACAGG
rnacentral:rRNA from 1 species